UGGAGUGAGUGAGUCAGUGAGUGAGUGAGUGAGUGAGUCAGUGAGUGAGUGAGUGAGUGAGUGAGUCAGUCAGUCAGUGAGUGAGUGAGUAAGUCAUGAGUGAGUGAGUCAGUGAGUGAGUGAGUGGGUGAGUCAGUGAGUGAGUCAGUCAGUGAGUGAGUGAGUGAGUCAGUGAGUGAGUGAGUCAGUGAGUGAGUAAGUGAGUCAGGUGAGUGAGUGAGUGAUUGAGUCAGUGAGUGAGUGAGUGAGUGAGUGAGUGAGUGAAUGAGUCAGUGAGUGAGUGAGUGAGUGAGUGAGUCAGUGAGUGAGUGAGUGAAUGAGUCAGUGAGUGAGUGAGUGAGUCAGUGAGUGAGUGAGUGAGUGCGUCAGUGAGUGAGCCGAUGAGUCAGUGAGUGAGUGAAUGAGUCAGUGAGUGAGUCAGUGAGUGAGUGAUGUCACUGAGUGAGUGAGCGAGUCAGUGAGUGAGUGAGUGAGUGAAUGAGUGAGUCAGUGAGUGAGUCAGUGAGUGAGUGAGUGAGUGAGUGAAUGAGUGAGUCAGUGAGUGAGUGAGUGAGUCAGUGAGUGAGUGAGUCAGUGAGUGAGUGAGUGAAUGAGUGAGUGAUGAGUCGGUGAGUCUGUGAGUGAGUGAGUGAGUCAGUUUGUGAGUGAGUGAGUGAGUCAGUGAGUGAAUGAGUCAGUGAGUGAGUGAGUGAGAGUCAGUGAGUGAGUGAGUGAGUCAGUGAGUGAGUGAGUGAUUGAGUGAGUGAGUGAAUGAGUCAGUGAGUGAGUCAGUGAGUCAGUGAGUGAGUCAAUGAGUGAGUGAGUAAGUGAGCGAAUCAGUGAGUGAGUGAG
ensembl:lncRNA